GGCGGCGUGCCUAAUACAUGCAAGUCGAGCGGAGAUCUUGGAGCUUGCUCCAGGAUCUUAGCGGCGGACGGGUGAGUAACACGUGGGCAACCUGCCCUGCAGAUCGGGAUAACUCCGGGAAACCGGUGCUAAUACCGAAUAGUUUGCGGCCUCUCAUGAGGCCACACGGAAAGACGGUUUCGGCUGUCACUGCAGGAUGGGCCCGCGGCGCAUUAGCUAGUUGGUGGGGUAACGGCCUACCAAGGCAACGAUGCGUAGCCGACCUGAGAGGGUGAUCGGCCACACUGGGACUGAGACACGGCCCAGACUCCUACGGGAGGCAGCAGUAGGGAAUCUUCCGCAAUGGACGAAAGUCUGACGGAGCAACGCCGCGUGAGUGAAGAAGGUUUUCGGAUCGUAAAACUCUGUUGUGAGGGAAGAACAAGUACCAACUAACUAUUGGUACCUUGACGGUACCUCACCAGAAAGCCACGGCUAACUACGUGCCAGC
rnacentral:rRNA from 1 species